rnacentral:rRNA from 1 species
GACGUAGGGCGCGAGCGUUGUCCGGAUUUAUUGGGCGUAAAGAGCUCGUAGGCGGCUUGUCGCGUCGUCCGUGAAAACCUGCGGCUCAACUGCAGGCUGGCGGUCGAUACGGGCAGACUAGAGGCAGGUAGGGGAGAAUGGAAUUCCCGGUGUAGCGGUGAAAUGCGCAGAUAUCGGGAGGAACACCGGUGGCGAAGGCGGUUCUCUGGGCCUGACCUGACGCUGAGGAGCGAAAGCGUGGGGAGCGAACAGG